rnacentral:misc_RNA from 1 species
GAAAUGCGAUACGCAAUGCGAAUUGCAGAACCGCGAGUCAUCAGAUUUUUGAACGCAAUUGGCGCUGGUUAACUGCCAGCAUGUUUUGCUCAGUGUGUUAGGAACUCAUACAUCUGAAUGUGGUUGAGGGUGUUUAUAUUUAUUUAUAAAUAUAAAAUACUUUCUCCCAUUAAACAGGGAAGAGGCGAACUCCGCCCCCUCCGAAGUAGUCACUAGCUCUCUAGUGAUCUCGGUUGGGAUUUUACGAAUCUCUUAAAAAGGACGAGUAAAAAAGGUUUUCAAUACAACUUCUUCAAAUACAACAAACUCUCCAACUACACCUGAGCAAGGCAAGACCACCCACUGAACUUAA